GAUGAACGCUGGCGGCGUGCCUAACACAUGCAAGUCGAACGGGGUUAAGGGAAAUUUUCGGAUGGAACUUAACUUAGUGGCGGACGGGUGAGUAACGCGUGGAUAACCUGCCUCACACUGGGGGAUAGCAGCUGGAAACGGCUGGUAAUACCGCAUAAGACCACAGCACCGCAUGGUGCAGGGGCAAAAGAUUUAUCGGUGUGAGAUGGAUCCGCGUCUGAUUAGCCAGUUGGCGGGGUAACGGCCCACCAAAGCGACGAUCAGUAGCCGGCCUGAGAGGGUGAACGGCCACAUUGGGACUGAGACACGGCCCAA
rnacentral:rRNA from 1 species